UUUUCUCGUGCUUUCUCACCUUCAAGGCCCACCGACACCUGCCUGCCCACAGUUCGAGUUAUCCUGGCCGGCUCCUGCAAGCCCGCACUCUUCUCCGAGGCGGCUCCUCUCCGCUCAACCCGAUUCCCGCCCCCACUGCGCCUUCUUCCUGCGGUGGCCGAGGACGUGGUAUAAGGCCGCCACUUCCGAGCUUCCAAAGGGCCUUCAAACCUCAACUGCAGUGUCAGAGCCCUCCCCCCGUAUAAGAGUCAGGAGCGCCCCGGAGCCCCCAUCGGAAGCUUUGCGCCUGCCCGUGGAAAGGUUGCCAUCAGGGAAGGCCUUCGUGGCCGCUGAGUCCUCUGCUCCAGGGGCUGCGGCAGCUCUCAUAAAGAGCGGCCCUCUUCGUCCCCGCAGAAGUUAUCGUCAGAGUGCAAUUCCUUGGGGAAACAGAAGUCAUUCUGUUGAGUCCACCCAUUCUGCUGCUCUCGGGAGGGACAAGGCUGCUAGACUCCAGGCUCGCUCCCAGCCUCUCAAGAGAUACGGGCAGGCCUCUGGGGCUGAACGCCGAGACUGCGCCCCGCGGCCCGAUAGCAUUCCUGCAUCGCUUUGCGAGCCGGGAGAAGUGCGUCCCUUCUCGCUUGCCUUAGGCCUGGGAAGCGGGGACCGCACUACCGUGCAGCUGCAGAAGGGGGGAACGCACACGUGCGGCUCUCGGCUUCUCAGUGAAUACCAGAGGCUCCUGGAAAACCAACGCCAACACUACCUGGGCUAGCCUGGACAGCCCGGAGCUGCGAGCGCGAACUGACAACCGCGGAACUUGCUCAGCCUUUGACAGCUCGGUGGGAACACCUCGGUGUGUCGAGUCCGGACUCAAGGGGCGGGACGGGGCGGGGCGAGCGCGCGCGGGGCGGAGCGCGCGCGAGCCGGGACGCGAGGAGGGAGAGCGCGAGUGAAGCCGAGCCGAGCCGAGUCGAGCCGGAAGGUGCCUGGGAGAGGCUGGCAAAGCCCAGCUGGCUGUCUGCGUCGCCUGGCUCCGCGUACCCUUGCUUCUGCCCAGUCUCCCGCAAAACUUUUAUUAUCUGGGGCCCCAGGGGUGUGUGAAGGAAUUGGAGCGUUCGGCCAUCUCCGCGCUCCACAGCGGCGGCGACCGAGGGGACGUGCAUCCCUCGUCCGCC
rnacentral:lncRNA from 13 species